GACAGAGGUCCCGAGCGUUUAGGCGGAAUCACUGGGCUUAAAGCGUGUGUAGGCGGAUCGUUAAGUACCUUGUGAAAUCCCACGGCUUAACCGUGGAACUGCUUGGUAUACUGGCGGUCUUGAGCUACUUAGGGGCUACCGGAACAAAUGGUGGAGCGGUGAAAUGCGUAGAUAUCAGGAGGAACACCGAUGGCGAAGGCAGGUCUCUGGGCCACUACUGACGCUGAGAAGCGAAAGCAUGGGGAGCGAACAGG
rnacentral:rRNA from 1 species